GGGCAUUCAUGGCCCCGCUCCAACCUUCUUUCCUUUGCUCUCCAACUUUGGACCUAGAUUUUUGACUUAUGGAAGAUUGUUGUCAUUGAGAACCAUCAUCAAUUUGGCGUGGGACAACAUUCCAUUCUGUCACAAGAAGUGUGCUGUAAUUAUAUGGAAAAAAAAACAUUUAAUUGAGGAACUAUAUUUUAGUAAUGUAAUUUAGUCCUCAUUCAAUUAAAUUGAGUUCAAUUUACUUGAGAAAUUUCAGUCUUGAAUCUGUUCUUUUUAUAUUCA